rnacentral:rRNA from 1 species
GAUGAACGCUAGCUACAGGCUUAACACAUGCAAGUCGCGGGGCAGCGUGGGGGUUGCUUGCAAUCCCCGAUGGCGACCGGCGCACGGGUGAGUAACGCGUAUCCAACCUGCCCUUCACCACGGGAUAACCCGGCGAAAGUCGGACUAAUACCGUAUGUUGUCCAUUGACGGCAUCCGAUUUGGACGAAAGGUUUGGCGGUGAAGGAUGGGGAUGCGUCCGAUUAGCUGGACGGCGGGGUGACGGCCCACCGUGGCGACGAUCGGUAGGGGUUCUGAGAGGAAGGUCCCCCACACUGGAACUGAGACACGGUCCAGACUCCUACGGGAGGCAGCAGUGAGGAAUAUUGGUCAAUGGGCGUAAGCCUGAACCAGCCAAGUAGCGUGCAGGAUGACGGCCCUAUGGGUCGUAAACUGCUUUUAUGCGGGGAUAAAGUGGCCCACGUGUGGGUUUUUGCAGGUACCGCAUGAAUAAGGACCGGCUAAUUCCGUG